GUGCUUUUACCUGUCUCAUAGCUGCAGACAUGCAGCCUCAAUGGAUGCCAUGUGGGAAGAAGAGGAAGCUUCUAGACCAGCUGGAGGAGCAUGGUCUCUGUGUGGAGCUCUGAGAUGAGAGCAGAGUUUCUGGACCACAGCUGAGAAGUUCCUUCACUCCAUUCAUGCCUUCUUCAUCCCGUACUCACUGGAUACUCAUAGUAUUGUAUGUUAUGAAAAAAUGUAAUAAAAAAAGUAAGUAAUAUUACUAGUAUGUUUUAUGUCAAAGAAUCUCUGAAAAAGUCAUAAAAUUGACAAUAUGUUAUUACAUAGUUAUUACAUUGUUACAAACAUGUUUUAUGUCAAAAAUCU